rnacentral:rRNA from 1 species
CCUACGGGAGGCAGCAGUGGGGAAUAUUGCACAAUGGGGGAAACCCUGAUGCAGCGACGCCGCGUGGGUGAGGAAGUAUUUCGGUAUGUAAAGCCCUAUCAGCAGGGAAGAAGAUGACAGUACCUGACUAAGAAGCCCCGGCUAACUACGUGCCAGCAGCCGCGGUAAUACGUAGGGGGCAAGCGUUAUCCGGAUUUACUGGGGGUAAAGGGAGCGCAGGUGGCAAGGCAAGCCAGAAGUGAAAACCCGGGGCUUAACACCGCGGAUUGCUUUUGGAACUGUCUGGCUGUAGUGCAGUAGGGGCA